AUUAAAGUAGUUAAAGCGUAUAACAGAGCUUUGAAGCGGCUCUAUUGGGGUUAUCCUCCUUUAAUA
rnacentral:tRNA from 1 species